UACGUAGGGCGCGUGCGUUAAUCGGAAUUACUGGGCGUAAAGCGUGCGCAGGCGGUUCGCUAAGACAGAUGUGAAAUCCCCGGGCUUAACCUGGGAACUGCGUUUGUGACUGGCGGGCUGGAGUGCGGAAGAGGGAGGUGGAACUCCACGUGUAGCAGUGAAAUGCGUAGAGAUGUGGUGGAACACCGAUGGCGAAGGCAGCCUCCUGGUCUAGCACUGACGAUCAUGCACGAAAGCGUGGGGAGCAAACAGG
rnacentral:rRNA from 1 species